rnacentral:rRNA from 1 species
CUGGCCUCGGCCCGAGUUGUAAUUUGCAGAGGAUGCUUCUGGCGCGGUGCCUUCCGAGUUCCCUGGAACGGGACGCCACAGAGGGUGAGAGCCCCGUAUGGUCGGACACCAAGCCUGUGUGAAGCUCCUUCGACGAGUCGAGUAGUUUGGGAAUGCUGCUCUAAAUGGGAGGUAAAUCUCUUCUAAAGCUAAAUACCGGCCAGAGACCGAUAGCGCACAAGUAGAGUGAUCGAAAGAUGAAAAGCACCUUGAAAAGGGGGUUAAAUAGUACGUGAAAUUGUUGAAAGGGAAGCACUUGUGACCAGACUUGGGCCGGGCGGCUCAUCAGGGGUUCUCCCCUGUGCACUCCGCCCGGCACAGGCCAGCAUCGGUUCUCGUGGGGGGAUAAGACCGUCAGGAACGUAGCACCCUCCGGGGUGUGUUAUAGCCUGGCGGACGAUACCCCCGUGGGGACCGAGGUUCGCGCUCCGCAAGGAUGCUGGCGUAAUGGUCACCAGUGACCCGUCUUGAAACACGGACCAAGGAGUCGUCCAUUAGAGCGAGCGUUUGGGUGUAAAACCCGCACGCGUAAUGAAAGUGAACGCAGGUGAGAGCUUCGGCGCAUCAUCGACCGAUCCUGAUGUUCUCGGAAGGAUUUGAGUAAGAGUUUUAACGGACGGACCCGAAAGACAGUGAACUAUGCUUGUAUAGGGUGAAGCCAGAGGAAACUCUGGUGGAGGCUCGCAGCGGUUCUGACGUGCAAAUCGAUCGUCAAAUAUGAGCAUGGGGGCGAAAGACUAAUCGAACUGUCUAGUAGCUGGUUACCGCCGAAGUUUCCCUCAGGAUAGCAGUGUUGAUCUUCAGUUUUAUGAGGUAAAGCGAAUGAUUAGGGACUCGGGGGCGCUAUAUAGCCUUCAUCCAUUCUCAAACUUUAAAUAUGUAAGAAGCCCUUGUUACUUAGUUGAACGUGGGCAUUCGAAUGUACCAACACUAGUGGGCCAUUUUUGGUAAGCAGAACUGGCGAUGCGGGAUGAACCGAACGCGGGGUUAAGGCGCCAGAGUGUACGCUCAUCAGACACCACAAAAGGCGUUAGUACAUCUUGACAGCAGGACGGUGGCCAUGGAAGUCGGAAUCCGCUAAGGACUGUGUAACAACUCACCUGCCGAAUGUACUAGCCCUGAAAAUGGAUGGCGCUCAAGCGUACCGCCCAUACCCCGCCCCCAGGGUAGAAA